UACAGAGGUCCCAAGCGUUGUUCGGAUUCACUGUGCGUAAAGGGUGCGUAGGCGGUCGGGUAAGUCUGAUGUGAAAUCUCACAGCUUAACUGUGAAACUGCAUUGGAUACUAUCCGGCUCGAGGAAUGGAGGGGAGACUGGAAUACUUGGUGUAGCAGUGAAAUGCGUAGAUAUCAAGUGGAACACCAGUGGCGAAGGCGAGUCUCUGGACAUUUCCUGACGCUGAGGAGCGAAAGCGUGGGGAGCAAACGGG
rnacentral:rRNA from 1 species